UACAGAGGUGGCAAGCGUUGUUCGGAUUCAUUGGGCGUAAAGGGUGCGUAGGUGGCGGGGUAAGUCAGGUGUGAAAUCUCGGGGCUCAACCCCGAAACUGCACUUGAUACUGCCUUGCUCGAGUACUGGAGAGGAGAUUGGAAUUUACGGUGUAGCAGUGAAAUGCGUAGAUAUCGUAAGGAAGACCAGUGGCGAAGGCGAAUCUCUGGACAGUUACUGACACUGAGGCACGAAGGCCAGGGGAGCAAACGGG
rnacentral:rRNA from 1 species